rnacentral:rRNA from 1 species
GACGAACGCUGGCGGCGUGCUUAACACAUGCAAGUCGAACGGAAAGGCCUGCUUUCCCUUGUGGAUUGCGGGUACUCGAGUGGCGAACGGGUGAGUAACACGUGAGUGAUCUGCCCCCAACUUGGGUAUAAGCCUGGGAAACUGGGUCUAAUUCCCGAUAGGACUGCAGGGUGGUGCCUGUGGUGGAAAACGAUUUUCUAGUGGUUGGGGAUGAGCUCGCGGCCUAUCAGCUUGUUGGUGGGGUAAUGGCCUACCAAGGCGGCGACGGGUAGCCGGCCUGAGAGGGUGGACGGCCACAUUGGGACUGAGAUACGGCCCAGACUCCUACGGGAGGCAGCAGUGGGGAAUAUUACACAAUGGGCGGAAGCCUGAUGCAGCGACGCCGCGUGGGGGAUGACGGCCUUCGGGUUGUAAACUCCUUUGGACCGCGAGGAAGCCACCUGGUUGGAAGGGUGGUGACGGUAGUGGUAGAAGAAGCACCGGCUAACUACGUG